GACGAACGCUGGCGGCGUGCCUAAUACAUGCAAGUCGAACGAGAGCGACCGGUGCUUGCACUGGUCAAUCUAGUGGCGCACGGGUGAGUAACACGUGGGUAACCCGCCUAUCAGAGGGGGAUAACAUUCGGAAACGGAUGCUAAAACCGCAUAGGCCUUCGAACCGCAUGGUUUGAAGAGGAAAAGAGGCGCAAGCUUCUGCUGAUGGAUGGACCCGCGGUGCAUUUGCUAGUUGGUGGGGUAACGGCUCUCCAAGGCCGGGAUGCAUAGCCGACCUGAGAGGGGGAUCGGCCACAUUGGGACGGAGACACGGCCCAAGCUCCGACGGGAGGCAGCAGUAGGGAAUCUUCCGCAACGGACGGAAGUCUGACGUAGCGGCGCCGCGUGAGUGAAGAAGGUUUUCGGUUCGUAAAACUCUGUUGUUAGAGAAGAAUAAGUGCUAGAGUAACUGUUAGCGCCGUGACGGUAUCUAACCAGAAAGCCACGGCUAACUACGUG
rnacentral:rRNA from 1 species